rnacentral:lncRNA from 1 species
GUGCAUCAUGUCCAAACUUUAAACAAUGAAUGCAAAAACUUGGCUUCCAGUCAUACUCUAUUUGCUGCACUUUCAUACCAUAGGGGGUAUCAAUUUCAAUCUGGUCAGGCAAGGGAUAGGCAGCAUCAACUUCUACUAGGACUCUUGCAAAUGAAAUCUUCUCGAAGUGUGCUGUGAAUUUAUCUGUGUACAGUGGUUUACCCACUGCACUGGCCAAUUUGCUUAGGACCUCCACUGACCAGUAACCCACUGGGAGACUUGGGAAUCUAAUCCAUACAGGGACAGUACUAAGCACAGCAUUUUGAAAGGAGAAGUCAAUCUCCCAUGGUUUCAGUACCAUAGGCUUGUUCCUGUA